GGAGUUAGCCGGUGCUUCUUCUGUGAGUGAUGUCCUUCCUGCCGGCUAUUAACCCGCAGGCCUUCUUCCUCACUGAAAGUGCUUUACAACCCGAAGGCCUUCUUCACACACGCGGCAUGGCUGGAUCAGGGUUGCCCCCAUUGUCCAAUAUUCCCCACUGCUGCCUCCCGUAGGAGUCUGGGCCGUGUCUCAGUCCCAGUGUGGCUGAUCAUCCUCUCAGACCAGCUACGGAUCGUCGCCUUGGUGAGCCGUUACCUCACCAACCAGCUAAUCCGACAUAGGCUCAUCCGAUAGCGCGAGGCCCGAAGGUCCCCCGCUUUCCCCCGUAGGGCGUAUGCGGUAUUAGCCUGGGUUUCCCCAGGUUAUCCCCCACUACCGGGCAGAUUCCUAUGAAUUACUCACCCGUCCGCCGCUCGCCACCAGGGAGCAAGCUCCCCGUGCUGCCGCUCGACUUGCAUGUGUUAGGCCUGCCGCCAGCGUUCAAUACUGAGCCAUGAUCAAACUACUGA
rnacentral:rRNA from 1 species